UACAGGGGGUGCAAACGUUGCUCGGAAUCAUUGGGCGUAAAGCGCACGUAGGUGGUCGUUUAAGUUGGAUGUGAAAGCCCUCGGCUCAACUGAGGAAGUGCAUCCAAAACUGAUCGGCUAGAGUACGAAAGAGGGUCGCGGAAUUCCCGGUGUAGAGGUGAAAUUCGUAGAUAUCGGGAGGAACACCAGUGGCGAAGGCGGCGACCUGGUUCGAUACUGACGCUGAGGAGCGAAAGCAUGGGGAGCGAACAGG
rnacentral:rRNA from 1 species